UCUGACUCCUCGCUCGGGUCUGCAGAUGCCCCAUGAGUGAUGGGAACAGGGUGUGAAGGAUGAAAACACAUACGAUCUGCUGUGACCAGAAUCACAAGACCUUGAAAGGGGGAAAAGAGGCAUCCUUGAAGCUUCCUCAGAACAGUUGCUGACUGUGAAGCCUGGACCACCAUAGUGAGCCCCUGUGGUAAGCUCGAAUCCUGGAGGUGGAGAUGGCGGAUCGAGGCUGGAAACGUACGGUUCCUUGAGACAGCUGUGACUCCCAUGUGAGCCCACACGGAGUGCUCAAAUCCUGUCUCUGAUUCUCUGAAGCGCACAGAGGAACGGUUUUCUGGUGCCCGUGUGGUGAAAGGACAGGGCAGACUUGCACGGCACCCUCCUGGUGGUAGGAACCCUCGCUAUCUCUGUAGAGGUUCUGCCCACCUCACUGGCCCCUGUACCUGCAAGACUGUUGCUCUGGUGUCCAUACCUUCCAACUGCUGUGGACAUCCUUGGGACUGCAACCUGGCAGCUGCAGCUGAGACCAGAGUUACGUGUGCUCCAAGUUCCCCGUGGCUUCUGUCUUCGUCUCCUUUGUUUGUGUUCUGAUAAGAUACUCCAACCAAAGCAACUCAAGGGAGGAAGAGUUUUUUGCUUCAGCUCACAGUUCAAGAGUACAGACCAUCAUGGCGGGAAAGUCAAGGCAGCAGGAGCUUGAAAUGGCUGGUGACAUCUCACCUUCACGAAAGAAGCAGAAAUCAAUGGAUGUGGGCUUGUGCUAAGCCCAAGGUCUCCAAUGAUACACCUGGGAAUCCUGGUCAAGGUGGUUCUUCCCACAUAAGGAAACUAAACCAAGGCCGUCCCCCAUCUGCACGCCCAGAAACCCACCUCCAUCUCCCCGAUGAGUCUACAUCCUAACAAGUUGACAAUAGCAACUAUGAUCACUCCCUGAAGAUUAAGACUGAGAGCCCCUCCCCACGACCUGCUAACCAGCCAUGGGUCUCUGUGUUAAUGCCCCUGGCUCUCUUGGCCUUUCUGUCUCUCUUUAAUUUCAGUCCUAAGUCUGACACUAUGGCAAGUGAGAUAAUGGAAAGGGAUGGUGGCAGGAGGGGAGAGGGACCUGCAGUUCCCACGUUUCACGUGACAAGUGGAUUCCAUAGGUUCUUCCAAAUAAAACUUGCU